AUGAGCAAGCAAUGGACGCGGGUGCGGACGCUCGGCCGCGGCGCGUCGGGGGCAGAGGUGUUCCUCGCGGCGGACGACGCUUCGGGCGAGCUCUUCGCGAUCAAGUCCGCCGUCGGGGCGGCGUGCGCGGCGGCGCUCAGGAGGGAGCAGAUGGUGAUGGCCGGCCUGAGCUCACCGCGCGUCGUAUCCUGCAUCGGCGGCCGCGGCGCCCGCGACGGCUCCUAUCAGCUCUUCCUCGAGUUCGCCCCCGGCGGCUCGCUGGCGGACCAGGUGGCGAGCAACGGGGGCCUCGACGAGCGCGCCGUCCGCGGCUACGCGGCCGAUGUGGCGGCCGCGCUUGCGUAUCUCCACGGCGCUGGGAUGGUGCACGGGGACGUCAAGGCGAGGAACGUGGUGAUCGGCGCCGACGGCCGCGCCAAGCUCGCGGAUUUCGGGUGCUCGAGGAAGGCGGGCGCUGAUGUGCCGAUCAUCGGCGGCACGCCGGCGUUCAUGGCGCCGGAGGUGGCGCGCGGCGAGGAGCAGGGCCCCAGGGCCGACGUCUGGGCGCUCGGCUGCAUAGUUGUUGAGAUGGCCACCGGCCGCGCCCCGUGGAGCGGCAUGGACGGCGACGCGCUCGCGGCGCUGCACCGGAUCGGGUACACGGAUGCCGUUCCUGAGUUCCCCCAUUGGCUGUCCGCGGAGGCCCAGGACUUCUUGGCCAGGUGUCUUGUCAGGCAGGCCAGCGGCCGGUGCACGGCGGCGCAGCUGCUGGAGCAUCCGUUCUUGGCCGCCGCCGUCAUCGACGCGAACCCAGAAGCCGUGAAGAGCAAGUGGGUGUCGCCCAAGAGCACGCUCGACGCUGCAUUCUGGGAGUCGGAGUCCGACACCGACGAGCCGUCGCACGGCGCGGCCGAGAGCAGGAUCAGAGCAUUGGCCUGCCCUGCGUCGGCGCUCCCGGACUGGGACUCGGACGAGGGCUGGAUCGAUGUGCUCUCCGGGCCAACAGAAGCGCCUGUCGCCGCGCCGGCCAAGGUGACGACUGGCACCACCGUGGAGGACGUUAUCACCAGUGACGCAGAGUCCGGCGCUCUCGACAUUACCGUGGACGUGGAGCACAGCAGCGUGCUCAACGCAGGACAAGAGGCGGACGAUGAUGAGGAUGAAUCAGUAGUAGGGCACACUAGGCACCAGCCCUCGGAGAUUCUAGAUUCUCACCAGGUAGUGUCAUGUAAAUUGUUACUGUUAUGUAGCAACAGAAUCAGUAAUGCAAUCGAAUUUGUUCAUCAUGCCAAAGCACUCUGCUUCGCUAGCGCUACUCCUCUGUUUCUCUGCUCAUACUCGUGCUCCCCGUUGCGACACGAUUGA
rnacentral:rRNA from 1 species